rnacentral:sRNA from 1 species
GCCGGGCGUGGUGGCUCAUGCCUGUAAUCCCAGCAAUUUGGGAGGCUGAGAUGGGUGGAUCACCUGAGGUCAGGAGUUCGAGACCAGCCUGGCCAACACGGUGAAACCCCGUUUCUA